rnacentral:snRNA from 1 species
GUGCUUGCUUCAGCAGCACAUAUGCUAAUAUCGGAUACAGAGAAGAUUAGCAUGGCCAUUGCAAAAGGAUGACACACAAAUUCAUGAAGCGUUUCAUUGUUUU